AAAUGACUGUAUUCGGGACGUAUUGUUUAAUUAAGUGUGUGUUUUACAUGGAAGGAAAUGGAAACCAUCAAUUGUACAAGGACCUCCAUAUCCAUCCCGAAUGCAAUAUUUCCAAUCAUCGAUCCACAUUGCCACUUCUUAAACAGCUGUAAAAAUGUGGCCAUAGUGGAAGACGGCGCGGCGGCAGGAAACGAUGGAACAGGAGUGCUUCGGGUGCCACCAGAGGUUUCCACUCUCUCUUGUUGCUGGACAAAAUGCGGUCGGCGAUGAUAUAAGCUCCAGAUAACUCGAAUGGAGAACGGCGGUUCCAGGAAUUCUAAAGCGGAAGCGGUAGGCGGCUACUGGGUUUCCUCUAUGUCGAUGUGUCGAUGGUAUCCAAAACAGAACGACCCUCAGAGGCAUCGCAAGAGGUUGUCUAAAGAAGGCGAAAUAAAGCUCCAGAAAAUAUUGCUGCACUGGCACACCACUCCCGAGCUUCUGCCUAACGUACAAAAAAGGGAGAGUCGACAGAUGGCGAUUUUUUAACUUAUUGUUACCAAUGUGAAAUCAGUUAGAAAUCGGGAUAUCCAUUUGGUUGGUUUUCAGAAGACAGAUUGGGGAUCCGAAUGCAGUUUGUCAAGAGAUUGGCCUUUUUCUAUACGAAUGGGUGUAUUGGGUAGCACCCGGUUAUUUCAUUGGUUACUUACGAAGAUUCCAACAGCUAAUUUAAUUUGAGUCAUCCGUUUCUGCCUGGAGCAGUUCUUGUUCCGGAAGGAUUCGUCGGAAGGGAUUUUUGUUAUACCGUACCACAUGAGGAUGUUAAACCUUGGGAUCUGGAUCUGCAUGUCGCUGCAUUCGUAGAAGGAAGCCGUGAAAAUGAUGGAGUAGCCACCGUCGUCAAGGAGCUGUCCGGCAGGACUUAAUGAGACCAACGUUGAAGUCACUUAGAGGUGGAUUCGGCGAACUCACUGCAGGUCCGCGGUUAUUUUCACCGACCAGCGUUAAAUUUUGGAGUUUACGAUACUAAGCGAAUUUGGGGAGGUGAGAGGAGUACGAUUCCAACUGAAAUUAAGUCCCACGCCAUCACUAGCGGACUGCAAGUCGAUCUGAAAUAGCGACAGUAAGGCGAAGGCCUUCAGGCAUUAUUCACUUCUUUGCAUUCUGAGCUCUGCGGCUUGAGUUUUCUUUUGUUUGCAGAUUUUAUGGAAGUGAGGGAACUGAGUUCACUUCUCUGGAUGAGAUCUCCUUUUAAAUGGAGGUAAGCGUUGCCUUUCUUAUGUUUUACUUGUAUUUGGCCAUAUGUACGCAUUUAUGUCCGGAACAUCAGUUUAUUUGUGGAGACUUAUAUGUUAAAAUUCAGUAGUCAAUUCAAUCGAUUAUUUUUGAUUGGGGGUUAAUCGAACUGGGAGAUUUCAAUUGUAAAGACAAGUUACUAAGAUUUUGGGGUAACAUAAUUUUGGAGUAUUUUGAAUAUUUGUGUACGAUAUCCCAUUGAGGGCGUUUAUUUUUAAUUGAAUAUUUAUUUGACAAUACACCAGCAUUUAUCGUGGUACUUAAAUUGGCUUGUACUUUUCUGAUCCCCUUGUAUCUUCCCAACUUCACACGGGGAGAUGCAAGCUAGAAAUUGAGUGGCGCUCAACCUUGGUAACUGCAACGAAGAUUCCGAAUAUCAUUUUACCCAGAACAAACUACCGCUGUAGAAGAUUCUCAAGCUCUCAUUUUGUGUUUUACCCUGAGACCGUUUAUGCGGUGGGUUUGAAAAAUUGGAGCACCAACUCAACUACCCGUUAUAAUACUUACGUUCAUAUCACGUGUGGGAUGGCUUGACAAAGAGCCCGAAUUUGAGGCGCGUGUCGCCCCUCCUAUCGUAAUCCAUAAUCCACUUGAGCAAUACAAAAAAUUGAGCUUCAGGCAUAAAUCUAAAUAUCAAUUACUCCAUAAAACUAAAACGAAUUUCCCUAAAAAAAUAUAUUAGUGAAAAACUAAAUGAAUAAUCCAAGAAAUCCCUUCCGUCUUUUCAGCUUAGAUGACAUUAUACUUGAUCGUAAAAAUAGAAAUUUAAUUUCGUUACAUUUUAAAAGUAAAUGAAAGGGAUGUAGCUUUAUUGAUUAAGUAAAAUACCUCUUGCAUAACAAUUAGAUUCCAAAGGUCUUUAAAGUUCGCGUUUUCGAAUUUGAACUCCCUUCCAAUUUAGAUAGGGUCUCACUAGUUCCACUAUUUGUUGGACAGACACGUUAGAAGAAAAUAUUUCCCCGAUCCUUAUACGGAUGAAUAAAAAAUUUUAAAUUUGCUUUUGGAAAGAGAAUCCUUAGCCGUUUAAACAUGAUUGCGAGGAUUUAAAGCCGCGCGGCGAAGUUCAUUCAUUCGAAAAUUUCAGGCUAUUUAAAAUAAGUUUUAUUUUCUUUUAAUCAAUCCAAAUUCAGCAGUUCUAUAUAUUGCGGGAAGUAAUCAAAUUUUCAGCUAAAAUUCACGCGUGCUUUGUAUAAUCUGAAUAUACGGAUACACGGAUGUAGGAUUUUCUGUUGUUUAACUAAAUUUAUUCAGAUUGUUGUUUUUCAGCCUUGUAGUCGAUAGAAAAUUGUAAACUUAAUUGUCGUUGAAGAUCCUUUUGGGGUAAUACGUCCAAUUUAUUUAUAAUUAAAUAGUCUAUCCAUGUAUUCAUUUCUGUGAGCCUCGGUCUAACUCAACUAGCACAAAAGGCAUUGGAUAAUCUUUCACAAGCUGUCGUGGCAAGAAAAUCAUAGGCUUCUAAGGGACAAUAAACGAAUCUUACAACAAAGGUGUCUUAGGGCAAGGGUGGGGCUUUAAUAUAGCUGAGCAAAAAGUCUAUGAGAUAACCUUACACAAUUAUCCUCAAGCAAGGGGAACAACCCCUUAGUGUACAAACACCGUUCGCUUCCUAUUGAUGGUAUUUAACAAUUAUUUUAUUUUAUAUUUUAUAUUUAUUUUUUAUAUCUAAGGUAAUCGAAACGAAAGUACGAUGGGAAACAAAAGAAAGCUCAAAAACUUUGAGUAAAGGUAAAACUUGAGCGAAGGUAAAGCCCUCGUAUUGUUCAUAUGCAAAUAUAAAUCCGUACAAACGAUUCAAUGGAGCCACCACAGAGACAUCAAAAAGAAAGAGAAACCACUCCAAAGAUAAUUAUAGUGAAGUCAAAGCACUAAUCUCUUAAGUCAGAAAAGUAAUGGCGUACCAAGCGAAAUCAUUUGCAUGUAACCAAGGCGAAAACAGAACGUACACUGAAGAGGAACUCUAGCAACAAGACAAAGAACUAGGUAAAAGAGACCUCUAACACUAACAGGACGGUAAAAUAAAAAAUUAUAGUUAAUAAGAAACCCAUAUUCAGAUAAUAACCAAUUUACUACAGGAACAAAAGUUUCAGACUUGAUUUCCUGAACAAAAUUUUUAAUCUUAAUAUAAGAACCUCCUUUUUCUGGAUUAACUCCCUUGGUUUAAGGGCUUGAAACCCCCUCCUUUUCAAUUUUUGUAUUUAAAUUUAGGAAAUUUGGUUUCUUCAUUGAGCCCUAACGACUGGCUUUGGCAGGAACCAUGUAUUUACUAACCUGCCAACCUGUAAACGAUUUUCAAAAUCUCAAUGUAAAAUGGUCAUAAACGGUAUGGUGCCCUAUACAGUAAUCGCGUGAAUUUAAACAUCUUGAAAAUAGACUUCCACAAUUUUACUCAAAAUUUUCGUUCGGAAUAUCUUUGAAAUGUUGACAAUAGAAAAUAUUUAUAAUCUUCCUUUACAGGUAUUUCACAAUUUCUAGAAGCCUUAAAACACUCAAAACCGAAAUUUUGUAAUCGUGCAAUUGGCAAAUCAUGUAGGUACUGGUAAUUUUGAAACCUUGGUGUCCUUCGACCACAUUCACUUCAGAUAUUAGAAUUUUCAAAGAAAAGGUUUUUAUGUUUGCUUCAAGGAUUGUAUUGUUUGCAUAAGUGUUUAAUUGGAAAAAAUUUUGAAUUUUUUCGUCUAACUUAAAAUGUAAAACUAGAUUGCAGUGCAAGUAUGUGAAUAAUAAACAAGUUUGAGUUGCGCAUAAUCGGCAGUUUUGAAAAGUAAUGGUUGCGCGGGGAAACAUUAGAAUAGCAUUCGCUCUGUAACCGCGGCCACGUAAAGAAGUAUCCUGAAAAAUUUUCCUUUCGGCGAGAAGUAACAAAGUUGUGAUCUACGACAGAAGCUCGCGUUUUGUUUCCACCAGCCAGCGUUUUUUCGUUAACCCAGCCUGCGCUUGUUUUAACCAGCCCGCGGUUAUUUUUCACCGGCUAGCAUUAAAUUUUGAAGAAUUUCUACAAAGAAGACAUCCAUCCACAAUCGAGAGAAAGCAGUAUAGAUCGCCCACUGUCCGAAACCACUACGUAAAGUCCAGCAGAGAGCAAAACGGGAGAACUUUGCUUAAGUCAGCGACUGGCUUCGGCUGCAUUUGGAACAAAGUCGCCAUGCUGUCAGAGAUGCCCCACUAUCCAGUCGUUAGAAAAGUUACUGCGUGGUAGGUUUUCCAAUUAAAUCAAUCGAUCGAUCGUCCCAGAUGUACCAAAUUUUCACAUUUUCGUAUGGGGUUUCUUAUUUCAAUUGGAAUUGGCCAACAGCGCUUGGGUUGGAGUAUACGGGUAAUUAACUUCGACUGUAAACUGUAUGGAGUUAGAGGGGUAGGCCAUGGAAUGACCAGGAAGCUCUUCCAAUCUACAGAAAAGAUUACUACGUGCACUAUAUGUACUUACGCAAUCAAAUUAUUCAUAAUUGUCGUCAUUAAACUUGGAGUUAUUGAAAAUUGCCUGGAAGAUUACCGGAAGUUAAAAAGAUAACCUUCUGUUCCACUUCGUUUGAGAUCGUUCCUCGGACUACCGUAGUACAAUUACUACAAAUGGAUUGUAAUAGGGCGUUGGCGAAGGCGUUGGUGUCUACCUAUAUAUAAGUUAAAGUAGACAACUUUGUAUCUACUACAUUACAAGG